UUGUUGGAGCAAUAAUUCAGGUUGCAAAAAUAUUACACUUGUUAAUUAUGGUCAAUUGAAAACAAAUUCGAAAUUACUUGCAUUACUUGAUUUGGAAACGCAAUAAUUCUGUCUUAAUAGUUUAUUUGUCAGUAACUUAUAAUCCUGUAGCUGAUAAGACAUGAUUAUUUUGUUGAUUUUUUUGAUGUUGAUCACAAUGUUUGAAUCCAAACUUUAGGCAAAAGUUGCUGUAUUGCCAACUGGCUAUCCAAAGAGAGCAGUGAUGAAAUUAUUAGUCCUUACCAGUUCCCUUUUUUUUAACAAACAAUGCCAAUUUUCAUGUCUUGUUCUUAGCCAAUUUUGAAGCUUUCUAAUCUCAUCACAGGAAUAAUAUAUGGUGAACUUUCUUUUUUCUUUUGUUCCCGACUAUUGGAUUCAGUCAUUGAUUCCAAUCGCCCUGCUUGAUAUUUUUCAAUAAAGAAUUCCAUGCAAAUCCCAUUGUGAGAUUACUGUUGAUCCUGCUGUGGCCAAUCUUUCUCGGGAAACACAUGAAUCAAGCUAUUUGGAAGGGCCUUGGUCAUGAGGUUAGAUGCGGCAUGUUCCUAUGAGAGGUUAGACUAUCAGCAAUAUUAUUUUACUGUCAACAACACCAAGAUGCCAGUUGCCAGUUGGUUCUACCUACAUAUUCAGCUAAUUGGUUCAGCCUUCUCCAUCAAAAGGCUUAUAAGUGAAAACAAUUGCUAUAUUAAUUAUUACAUCUUCAACAUGGACCCCCUUUCUGUCACAAAUUGUAAAGCAUAUUGAGAAGCUUUUUGCCAAUGCUAGCUUAUGUCCACACACUCACCUGUCAUACAAUGGGGACUGGGUAACUGCCAGUCACCUGCUGCCACACCAAGCUAGAAACAAUUACUGAUGUUUAGAGAUCAGUGACUAUUCAAGCAUUAGAAGAAAAAAAAAAGAGUAAUUUCUCACAAGACAGAAAACCUUUACUAGAAAACCAAUAAACAACAUGCAGAAAACUAAAAGCAAGAAACACCAAUGGGGUGUAAUGCUAAAACACACAAAGGGUUGAAUUUAUAGAGCUUUCCAUAUGUUAUGAUUUUCAAAUUAUCUGACUAAUCUUGAUUU